rnacentral:lncRNA from 10 species
GUGUGCAACUCUGGGGUGAAAGACACCAGCUUCUUCUGCAGAUUACCUGUAUCAUUUGGGUUUGAAGCAUAUUCUGAUGUGUCUUUGUGAAUACCAGUUUAUUCUCAAGGAUUUUAGGUUGUCUUUUCUUUUCUUUUUUUUUUUUUUCUAUUUCGUUUAGAGCUUUUCUUCCUGAUGGCUUAUCUACCGAUCAAAGCAACUUCUACCUCACCAGCAGAUACAGAGGCAACUUCUUCCAUAGAUUUCUUCACCAGUUUUCCUUAGCUGUCUCCUUGGAACAUUUGAAAUCCUCUGGUUCUUUGGCACCCAAAUAUGAAGGUCAUUUCAUCAAAGGCCUAAAAUUUUCAUAGAGAGGAUUUGAGAAAGGUGAUCUCAAUAAAAUACAAAAAAAAAAAGGAAGAAAAGCUACAGUAAAAG